GCAAAUUAAAAGGCAAAAUAUCUUCAGUUAAAUUUCUAGUUAAAGUGGAAAUGUUGGCAGAAUUUAAAAGAGUGCUAGUUGCCAAAGCCUGACUGCGCUAUCAACAAAAACGUGUGAAAUAUCUUCCUGUUCUGCCCUUGAUGUUAAUUCUGGUAGCAUCUGCAUUCUGGGGAGAGGCCUGGAGCUCAGCUUAAAUGCUGGUAAAGAGGCCGUCAAUGCUCAGUUUUAAAAUAUAUUUAUCAAGCAUUUUAUUUGGCUCACUACACUUUCUGUAAGUUAAUACUUCUAAUGGUGACAGUCUCCUUAGCUGUCACAUAACCACGUGUACCUCUGCAUGUGCUGUUGAUAUUUUGCUGAUUUGUGUAGGCCUGUGUCAGAGCUUGUUUUGGGAGAGGAGCUGGUGGACAGCGCUGUUUUGCACUGGUGGAGGGAAAGAACUGGAUGGAUGUGUAAAGCAACUGAUGGAAAAAUGGUAAAGAUGCAAAUGCAGUGAUCCCAGUGAUCACUCUAGGUCUACUUUUCUGCCUUCCUUUCCAAACCAUUAAAUGGCAGAGGAAAAUAUGUUCUGGGAGCCAGAAGUGUAGCUGGAGAAGAGGGUUUCACAGGGGAACUGUCACUUCAGUUUUACAUAGCUGGACUCUCACCUCCAGAGCAAGAACAACGGAGCGGGAAGCACAAAGACAGCAGGACAGCAACAUGUGCUCUCUCAUCCAGGAGCGCACCCUCUCUUCAGUGUCCUUGGCCACCAGCAUGCCC
ensembl:lncRNA